GAAUCUGCCGAUAUGUUAAAGCGCUGUCUAAUGGCGUGCUUGGCUGGGGGUGUCUUGUUCAUCAUCUAUCUUCUGUUGAAGACCAGCUCCUUGGCAAUCGGGAGUGUGCCUAAAGCUGUACUUACAAGAACUGAGGAUUCCAACGUCAUGUCUAAAACAGGAAGUCUAUUUGACGAGCCGGCAACUUCUACCACUGGAGUUGAUAUCAAUCUAUACAGCAUACAAAAUCCACGUUUAGGUCCACUCUUCAACAUAUCCCACGACAAUAUCAAAAACUUUAAAAAGGAUCCAUACUGGAACUCCUCUUUCACCUUUAGGCAAAACUCAAACUGGAAAAACUCUACAUGCACUGAAUCACUACAGAAGAAAGCCUUUACAUCUAAAGAGUUCGGGCAGAUCUUUCGACCUGAUAUCCAAAUGUUGAUGAACAGCGAUUUGUUUGAUGUUAAUGAAUACCGGCGGCUAAAACGAUGGACAAUACCCUAUGGAUACGAGUAUAGGGGCCGGAGCAUAAUGU